AUUGAACGCUGGCGGCAGGCCUAACACAUGCCAGUCGAGCGGAGCGGCGGACGGGUGAGUAAUGCCUAGGAAUCUGCCUGGUAGUGGGGGAUAACGUCCGGAAACGGGCGCUAAUACCGCAUACUAUCAGAUGAGCCUAGGUCGGAUUAGCUAGUUGGUGGGGUAAAGGCCUACAAAGGCGACGAUCCGUCACUGGUCUGCGAGGAUGAUCAGUCACACUGUAAAUGAGACACGGGCCAGACUCACACGGGAGGCAGCAGUGGGGAAUAUUGCACAAUGGGCGCAAGCCUGAUGCAGCCAUGCCGCGUGUAUGAAGAAGGCCUUCGGGUUGUAAAGUACUUUCAGCGGGGAGGCGUUACCCGAAGAAGAAGCACCGGCUAACUCCGUGCCAGCCGCCGCGGUAAUAC
rnacentral:rRNA from 1 species